rnacentral:rRNA from 1 species
GUAGGGAAUCUUGCGCAAUGGGCGAAAGCCUGACGCAGCCAUGCCGCGUGAAUGAUGAAGGUCUUAGGAUUGUAAAAUUCUUUCACCGGGGACGAUAAUGACGGUACCCGGAGAAGAAGCCCCGGCUAACUUCGUGCCAGCAGCCGCGGUAAUACGAAGGGGGCUAGCGUUGCUCGGAAUUACUGGGCGUAAAGGGAGCGUAGGCGGAUAGUUUAGUCAGAGGUGAAAGACCAGGGCUCAACCUUGGAAUUGCCUUUGAUGAUGGCUAUUUUGAGUAUGGAAGAGGUAUGUGGAACUCCGAGUGUAGAGGGGAAAUUCGUAGAUAUUCGGAAGAACACCAGUGGCGAAGGCGACAUACUGGUCCAUUACUGACGCUGAGGCUCGAAAGCGUGGGGAGCAAACAGGAUUAGAAACCCCUGUAGUCC